rnacentral:misc_RNA from 1 species
AAGACUAUAGACCUGCGGAGUACCUGCGGAAGGAUCAUUACAGAGUUGCAAAACUCCCAAACCAUUGUGAACGUUACCUUCUCGUUGCUUCGGCGGGCGGCCCGGGUCCUUCCCGGCGCCCCCCGGCCCCUCGCGGGCGCCCGCCGGAGGUAAACCAAACUCUUGAAUUGUAUGGCCUCUCUGAGUCUUCUGUACUGAAUAAGUCAAAACUUUCAGCAACGGAUCUCUAGAUCGGAAGAG